rnacentral:tRNA from 1 species
GACUCCAGGGAGCAAUCACCUAGCGGCUUUUAAUCCGCAGGUCCUAGGUUCGAGUCCUAGUGGGGGCACCA